rnacentral:piRNA from 1 species
UCCGUUUGCUCGAAACACAAA